rnacentral:rRNA from 1 species
CAGUCGCCGGGGGAAUACAGAGGGUGCGAGCGUUAAUCGGAUUUACUGGGCGUAAAGCGUGCGUAGGCGGCUUCUUAAGUCGGAUGUGAAAUCCCUGAGCUUAACUUAGGAAUUGCAUUCGAUACUGGGAAGCUAGAGUAUGGGAGAGGAUGGUAGAAUUCCAGGUGUAGCGGUGAAAUGCGUAGAGAUCUGGAGGAAUACCGAUGGCGAAGGCAGCCAUCUGGCCUAAUACUGACGCUGAGGUACGAAAGCAUGGGGAGCAAACAGGAUUAGAUACCCCAGUAGUCUCUGUCUCUUAUAC